rnacentral:rRNA from 1 species
GAAAGCCUGUCUCAGUUCGGAUUGGAGUCUGCAACCCGACUCCAUGAAGCUGGAUUCGCUAGUAAUCGUGCAUCAGCCACGGCGCGGUGAAUACGUUCCCGGGCCUUGUACACACCGCCCGUCAAGCCAUGGAAGCCGGGGGUGCCUGAAGUGCGCUGCCGCAAGGAGCGCCCUAGGGUAAAACCGGUGACUGGGGCUAAGUCGUAACAAGGUAAC